rnacentral:lncRNA from 1 species
GCCUCAGAGGUCAGAAGGAUUUCCUGUGGGGUCACAUUCCUCAGCAGAGCUAUGGGGCGGGGGGUGGGGGGUCCUGGGCUGGCCUCUGCCCUCCCACCUCUAAGAAGAAGGAUGGGCUGAUGCUGGAGCAGGAAGCAGUGCGAGGCAGGCCCAGGCAGGCAGAAAGGGGCUCUGAGGGCCCCACCCCCACCAUCCAGAGGGCUUGGUUCUGCGAACCCCCUCGACCCCCUUCACCCCCGGAGCAGGAGACGCUGCCUUGUGCUCGCGUGUGGGGUGGUGGGAUGCAGUGAGGAGGGGGACUGCUGACAGAGGGGACGUGCCCCGUGGGGUUGAGCUUCGGCUAAAUGCAGCUGGCUUGACAAGGAAUCCUCAGAUAAACCAUUGCCUUAAAGGUCUGCUUUUCAUUAAUAAUCUGUUUUUAUGGAGGAGGAAACCCAUCCGCCCCCCCCCCCCACCCCGCUUCAGAGUAGAGAGAAAGAAAGUACAAUUGUGUUGCUAAAGGGGGAAAUGGAUUUGGAUCUCCCCCUAGCUUUCUGACAGCUCCUUGGGGGUUGCCCAGAGUUUGGGAGUGGAACAGAACUCCCCCUGAGGCCAGGCCAUAUCUGUGCAGUAAAGGGCAAGAUAUCAGGGAGAUGGUGGGAAAUGGGGAUGGGUAAGAGGUUCAACCCUGAAGGUCUACUGUGGUGUCUUCUGGGAUUUGGGGUGGGCCUCACCAUCCCCAGCAUGCCUCUGGGCACCAGUUUUACAGGGCUGCUCUGUCAAGCUGCACAGGUUGUGCACUGUACAACCCUAGGGGCACCAUUUACACGGACCCCAAUGUGAACAGAGCCCCUGGAGUUGUGCCACUCAGGAAGCUCUGUCAGAAGCCUUUACACAUGCUUGUCCCUCUGCGUAGAAUGUCAUUCUGGCAAGAUCUGGCUUAGAUCUCAGCUCCCCUCAGAGUUCUUAGUGCCUCCUUCCUGCGUACCCACCACCCCCACACAUGCCUCUGUUCUACAUUUACUGCACGGAAUUGCAGCGAUCUGCCUCAGUGUCUGUCUUCUCCACUCUUCCUCCCUGCCGCCUUCCUAACACAGUGCCUGGGCUGUCGAGGCACCGGUCACUCAGGGGCGUGAACGAGAACGUGAUGGACGGGCCGGGGCAGCGAGCUCCCCCUCAGUACUGGAGAUGGGGCAGGCUUCUAGGAACGAAACAGUGCUCCCUGUUCUGA